UACGUAGGGGGCAAGCGUUGUCCGGAAUCAUUGGGCGUAAAGCGCGUGUAGGCGGUUCGGUAAGUCUGCUGUGAAAGUCCAGGGCUCAACCCUGGGAUGCCGGUGGAUACUGUCGGACUAGAGUACGGAAGAGGCGAGUGGAAUUCCCGGGUGUAGCGGUGAAAUGCGCAGAUAUCGGGAGGAACACCAAUUGCGAAGGCAGCUCGCUGGGA
rnacentral:rRNA from 1 species